GGGGUGUGCUAAGUACACCUUCCGGUACACUUACCUUGUUACGACUUACCUCAUCUUCAGCGAUAUUGUUGUAUUAGGUUAAUGUGGUGGUGGGGCUUAUGAGGAGGGUGACGGGCGGUGUGUACGUGCCCUAGAGCCAGCUUAAGGAGGACAUGAUUGUUCCUCUUUACUGCUAAAUCCGCCUUCCAGGGGCAGGUUUCAGGCCUCUUUUCGUUAAGUCUAUUUUAGAAAAUGUAGCCCAUUUCUUCCACUUCAUAGGCUAUACCUUGACCUGUCUUAUUAGCGGGUUGAAGGGUUAUUAGGCUCACUGUUGUGCUCUCAUGGAGGUGGGCUAUGACGGCGGUAUGUAGGCUGCUUUGGGCGAGAAGUGGUCGGGUGUAUCGUGGGUUAUCGAUUAUAGAACAGGCUCCUCUAGGUGGGGCUAGGGCACCGCCAAGUCCUUAGAGUUUUAAGCGUUUGUGCUCGUAGUUCUCGGGCGGAUGUUUAUGUAUUGAAGACAUCGGGAUUUAGGGCUAGGCAUAGUGGGGUAUCUAAUCCCAGUUUGUAUCCUAGCUUUCGUGGAGUGUGAUAAGUCUUGAGGGUUAAGAUCGUUUUUGGGUUGGGUUUCAUGGCACCUUGGGCUUGUGACAGCUUGGGUUAGUAGUUUAAUCUUAAUUGCUAUGAUAUUCUGUGGCCACACUUUACGCCGUGUACGGUUAAUUUGGGCCUCUUGUGUGACCGCGGUGGCUGGCACAAGAUUUACCGGCCCUGGUUGCUCUGACUAAGUCAGGCUUGCGCCUAUUGCUUAAUGUUAAUUACUGCUGAAUACCCGUGGGGGUGUGGCUAAGCGGGGCGUCUUGGGCUACAGUUUGGGGUGGGAGUGUGCCUGAUGCCUGCUCCUUUUGUCUUGGUAAGGUGUUGGGGGCGUUUGCACUGGGACGCGGAUACUUGCAUGUAUAUGUCGAGCAAGAAUUAACGGUAAGGUUAGGACUAAGUCUUU
rnacentral:rRNA from 1 species